GAUGAACGCUGGCGGCGUGCCUAAUACAUGCAAGUCGAGCGAACGGACGAGAAGCUUGCUUCUCUGAUGUUAGCGGCGGACGGGUGAGUAACACGUGGAUAACCUACCUAUAAGACUGGGAUAACUUCGGGAAACCGGAGCUAAUACCGGAUGAUAUUUUGAACCGCAUGGUUCAAUAGUGAAAGACGGUCUUGCUGUCACUUAUAGAUGGAUCCGCGCUGCAUUAGCUAGUUGGUAAGGUAACGGCUUACCAAGGCAACGAUGCAUAGCCGACCUGAGAGGGUGAUCGGCCACACUGGAACUGAGACACGGUCCAGACUCCUACGGGAGGCAGCAGUAGGGAAUCUUCCGCAAUGGGCGAAAGCCUGACGGAGCAACGCCGCGUGAGUGAUGAAGGUCUUCGGAUCGUAAAACUCUGUUAUUAGGGAAGAACAGAUGUGUAAGUAACUGUGCACAUCUUGACGGUACCUAAUCAGAAAGCCACGGCUAACUACGUG
rnacentral:rRNA from 1 species